AGCAGUAGCCGCGGUAAUACGAAGGGGGCUAGCGUUGUUCGGAAUUACUGGGCGUAAAGCGCACGUAGGCGGAUAUUUAAGUCAGGGGUGAAAUCCCGCAGCUCAACUGCGGAACUGCCUUUGAUACUGGGUAUCUUGAGUAUGGAAGAGGUUAGUGGAAUUGCGAGUGUAGAGGUGAAAUUCGUAGAUAUUCGCAGGAACACCAGUGGCGAAGGCGGCUAACUGGUCCAUAACUGACGCUGAGGUGCGAAAGCGUGGGGAGCAAACAGGAUUAGAUACCCCUGUAGUCCCUGUCUCUUAUAC
rnacentral:rRNA from 1 species